AGAGUUUGAUCAUGGCUCAGAUUGAACGCUGGCGGCAGGCCUAACACAUGCAAGUCGAACGGUAACAGGAAGCAGCUUGCUGCUUCGCUGACGAGUGGCGGACGGGUGAGUAAUGUCUGGGAAGCUGCCUGAUGGAGGGGGAUAACUACUGGAAACGGUAGCUAAUACCGCAUAAUGUCGCAAGACCAAAGAGGGGGACCUUCGGGCCUCUUGCCAUCGGAUGUGCCCAGAUGGGAUUAGCUUGUUGGUGGGGUAACGGCUCACCAAGGCGACGAUCCCUAGCUGGUCUGAGAGGAUGACCAGCCACACUGGAACUGAGACACGGUCUAGACUCCUACGGGAGGCAGCAGUGGGGAAUAUUGCACAAUGGGCGCAAGCCUGAUGCAGCCAUGCCGCGUGUAUGAAGAAGGCCUUCGGGUUGUAAAGUACUUUCAGCGGGGAGGAAGGGAGUAAAGUUAAUACCUUUGCUCAUUGACGUUACCCGCAGAAGAAGCACCGGCUAACUCCGUGCCAGCAGCCGCGGUAAUACGGAGGGUGCAAGCGUUAAUCGGAAUUACUGGGCGUAAAGCGCACGCAGGCGGUUUGUUAAGUCAGAUGUGAAAUCCCCGGGCUCAACCUGGGAACUGCAUCUGAUACUGGCAAGCUUGAGUCUCGUAGAGGGGGGUAGAAUUCCAGGUGUAGCGGUGAAAUGCGUAGAGAUCUGGAGGAAUACCGGUGGCGAAGGCGGCCCCCUGGACGAAGACUGACGCUCAGGUGCGAAAGCGUGGGGAGCAAACAGGAUUAGAUACCCUGGUAGUCCACGCCGUAAACGAUGUCGACUUGGAGGUUGUGCCCUUGAGGCGUGGCUUCCGGAGCUAACGCGUUAAGUCGACCGCCUGGGGAGUACGGCCGCAAGGUUAAAACUCAAAUGAAUUGACGGGGGCCCGCACAAGCGGUGGAGCAUGUGGUUUAAUUCGAUGCAACGCGAAGAACCUUACCUGGUCUUGACAUCCACGGAAGUUUUCAGAGAUGAGAAUGUGCCUUCGGGAACCGUGAGACAGGUGCUGCAUGGCUGUCGUCAGCUCGUGUUGUGAAAUGUUGGGUUAAGUCCCGCAACGAGCGCAACCCUUAUCCUUUGUUGCCAGCGGUCCGGCCGGGAACUCAAAGGAGACUGCCAGUGAUAAACCGGAGGAAGGUGGGGAUGACGUCAAGUCAUCAUGGCCCUUACGACCAGGGCUACACACGUGCUACAAUGGCGCAUACAAAGAGAAGCGACCUCGCGAGAGCAAGCGGACCUCAUAAAGUGCGUCGUAGUCCGGAUUGGAGUCUGCAACUCGACUCCAUGAAGUCGGAAUCGCUAGUAAUCGUGGAUCAGAAUGCCACGGUGAAUACGUUCCCGGGCCUUGUACACACCGCCCGUCACACCAUGGGAGUGGGUUGCAAAAGAAGUAGGUAGCUUAACCUUCGGGAGGGCGCUUACCACUUUGUGAUUCAUGACUGGGGUGAAGUCGAAACAAGGUA
rnacentral:rRNA from 1 species